UUGCAGUUAAAAGGCUCGUAGUUGGAUUUCUGCGGGGGCGGGGCGGCCGAACGCUUAUAGCGUUUCGAGCUAGCACUUCCCCUGCAUCCUGCCGCGAACCGUGCUACCAUUAGUUUGGUGGCGCCGGGGAUCGGCUCGUUUACUUUGAGAAAAAUAGAGUGUUCAAAGCAGGCCACACGCCUUGAAUAAGUUAGCAUGGAAUAAUGAUAAAGGACUUCGGUUCUAUUUUGUUGGUGUUCGGGACUGAAGUAAUGAUUGAUAGGGACAGUUGGGGCGGUCCGUAUUCCAAAGCGAGAGGUGAAAUUCUUAGACCUUCGGAAGACGAACAGCUGCGAAAGCGUUCCGCAAGGAUGUUCCCUUUGAUCAAGAACGAAAGUUGGGGGAUCGAAGACGAUCAGAUACCGUCGUAGUCUCAACUAUAAACUAUACCAGCUAGGGAUCGGCCAA
rnacentral:rRNA from 1 species